rnacentral:rRNA from 1 species
GGGCAACCCUGGUGGCGAGUGGCGAACGGGUGAGUAAUGUAUCGGAACGUGCCCAGUCGUGGGGGAUAACUAUCCGAAAGGAUAGCUAAUACCGCAUACGACCUGAGGGUGAAAGCGGGGGACCCUAAGGGUAACUGAGGGGCCUCGCGCGAUUGGAGCGGCCGAUAUCGGAUUAGCUAGUUGGUGGGGUAAAGGCUCACCAAGGCGACGAUCCGUAGCGGGUCUGAGAGGACGACCCGCCACACUGGAACUGAGACACGGUCCAGACUCCUACGGGAGGCAGCAGUGGGGAAUUUUGGACAAUGGGCGCAAGCCUGAUCCAGCCAUUCCGCGUGAGUGAAGAAGGCCUUCGGGUUGUAAAGCUCUUUCAGCGGGAACGAAACGGUCGAUCCUAAUACGGUCGGCUAAUGACGGUACCUGCAGAAGAAGCACCGGCUAACUACGUGCCAGCAGCCGCGGUAAUACGUAGGGUGCGAGCGUUAAUCGGAAUUACUGGGCGUAAAGCGUGCGCAGGCGGUGACAUAAGACAGAUGUGAAAUCCCCGGGCUCAACCUGGGAACUGCGUUUGUGACUGUGUCGCUCGAGUGUAGCAGAGGGGGGUGGAAUUCCACGUGUAGCAGUGAAAUGCGUAGAGAUGUGGAGGAACACCGAUGGCGAAGGCAGCCCCCUGGGUUAACACUGACGCUCAUGCACGAAAGCGUGGGGAGCAAACAGGAUUAGAUACCCUGGUAGUCCACGCCCUAAACGAUGCCAACUAGGUGUUGGGGAAGGAGACUUCCUUAGUGCCGUAGCUAACGCGUGAAGUUGGCCGCCUGGGGAGUACGGUCGCAAGAUUAAAACUCAAAGGAAUUGACGGGGACCCGCACAAGCGGUGGAUGAUGUGGAUUAAUUCGAUGCAACGCGAAAACCUUACCU